GGCUGGCUCAGUUGGUAGAGCAUGUGACUCUUGAUCUUGGGGCUGUGGGUUUGAGCCCCACAUUGGCUG
rnacentral:tRNA from 1 species